ACCGAGCCGGUUUGGACCCUUCGCCCUCCCCCUCCCGGGGCGCCCACCACCCACCUCUCCGGUUACGCGCGGCUGCCCCGGUCCCGCUUUUAAACCAGAUCUGAACGCUCUUUCAACCAGAACCUCGACCGUCUGUGUCAUUUCGGUGCUUGAAAACUUCUCUUUCGGCUUCGCGUUGCAAGGGGCUUGCUGGACUCCAGGCUUCGGGGACGAGGCACCCCUGCCCCCUGCUGUAGAGGCGGCCUCUACCGACCCCGAGGUUGGGGUUCGCUACAUUGCGAUGCGGUCAUGUGACAGCGAUGACACGAUGCGUUACCAUGUGCGGUUUCCGUGAAUUUAGAAAGCAUUGCCUUGAUAACACUAAAAGUAUUUCUAAACCAAACCAGGUUCCAGACACUGAAAAUUCAUGGUGUUUGGUUCCUUUUAAAUGUGUGUGGGGGGGGGGGGGAGGGGGGUUUGCAAUAAAUGCGUGCAUAUAUAAAUGAAGCCGUCUGCAGUAAGAUAAUGGCAUUAAAAAAAAAUAAAAGGGCGAACUGCUCGAAUUUAGAGACGUAGAGACACAGCGACCAAAUGUAAUGUGUAUGGAUCCUGUUAACUAUGGAUUCAAACUAACUAAAAGGUAUUUUUUUGAGACAAUUGUUGUAAUGGUUAUGAUGUAGUUGAGAUGCAUGGUGGACUAUGUGGAAGGGACGGGUCAUGGUAUCUGCAACUUACUUCCAAAUACUUAAGAAAACAAAGUGUGUGUACAUGUGUGUUUACAUGUAUGUGUACGUAUACUAGGCUGUUAUAUAUCAACAUGGGACAUGAUAGUUUUCUCCCAGAAACUACUAGACUAAGCCAUUGUCCCAACAAUAACUAUACUCUGAUUCUAUUCCUCAUUUAAUUUAAAAGGAGAAUAAAAGGGACUGAAUUCAAUACCUUCAUUUUGGUUUUUGAAAGUAUAAAUAUGUUUAGUGUUUUUACUAAUUUAGGGUACAAUAAAAUGAGAGACCUAUGUCACACUCUCCAUGCCAUUAUUACUUUUUUGGAAUAUAUAUUAUUCCAAACGUACAUAUUGCUGUAUUGGUGGCAUUUAGGUUAUUUCCAAUAUUUUUGCCUCUAAAAGCAAUGCUGCCAUGACUAGAUAUUUGCCUGCAUGGAUGGUACUUAUUGAGUAAAUUCCCAGAAGCAGAAGUACUGGGUCAAAGGGUAGGUAUAUUUUUAAUGUUAACAGAUAAUGCCAAGUCACCCUUCAAAGAGGAAGUAUCAGUUUACACCACUACCACCAAUGUAUGAGAGUUCCUAUUUUUCCAUGCCCUCAGUAGCACACUGUGUUUAGAUAACUUUUGUAGUCCUUGGCAUUACUGCCACUUUGUUCAAACAAUGAAAGUAAAGAUGAGCGAAAAGUGUCUUUGAGCCCUAUCUUGCUAGAAAUGACAUGAUUCAUUUAGAAAAAUUUCUUCCUGCCAGCAGUGGCUUGGAUUCAGCAAUCAUCACCUGUGUCCUGCUCUUUCUAAUUAUUUAGAUUCUGUAGUACAUCAAUGUGAAUUCAAAACAGUAUCUCUGUUCCUAGCUGAACAGACCAGUUUUAUUCCGAUGCUAAACAUAUGC